GUUCAUCCCUUGACGGUAUCUAACCAGAAAGCCACGGCUAACUACGUGCCAGCAGCCGCGGUAAUACGUAGGUGGCAAGCGUUGUCCGGAUUUAUUGGGCGUAAAGCGAGCGCAGGCGGUUUCUUAAGUCUGAUGUGAAAGCCCCCGGCUCAACCGGGGAGGGUCAUUGGAAACUGGGAGACUUGAGUGCAGAAGAGGAGAGUGGAAUUCCAUGUGUAGCGGUGAAAUGCGUAGAUAUAUGGAGGAACACCAGUGGCGAAGGCGGCUCUCUGGUCUGUAACUGACGCUGAGGCUCGAAAGCGUGGGGAGCGAACAGGAUUAGAUACCCUGGUAGUCCACGCCGUAAACGAUGAGUGCUAAGUGUUGGAGGGUUUCCGCCCUUCAGUGCUGCAGCAAACGCAUUAAGCACUCCGCCUGGGGAGUACGACCGCAAGGUUGAAACUCAAAGGAAUUGACGGGGGCCCGCACAAGCGGUGGAGCAUGUGGUUUAAUUCGAAGCAACGCGAAGAACCUUACCAGGUCUUGACAUCCUUUGACCACUCUAGAGAUAGAGCUUCCCCUUCGGGGGCAAAGUGACAGGUGGUGCAUGGUUGUCGUCAGCUCGUGUCGUGAGAUGUUGGGUUAAGUCCCGCAACGAGCGCAACCCUUAUUGUUAGUUGCCAUCAUUUAGUUGGGCACUCUAGCGAGACUGCCGGUGACAAACCGGAGGAAGGUGGGGAUGACGUCAAAUCAUCAUGCCCCUUAUGACCUGGGCUACACACGUGCUACAAUGGGAAGUACAACGAGUUGCGAAGUCGCGAGGCUAAGCUAAUCUCUUAAAGCUUCUCUCAGUUCGGAUUGUAGGCUGCAACUCGCCUACAUGAAGCCGGAAUCGCUAGUAAUCGCGGAUCAGCACGCCGCGGUGAAUACGUUCCCGGGCCUUGUACACACCGCCCGUCACACCACGAGAGUUUGUAACACCCGAAGUCGGUGAGGUAACCUUUUUGGAGCCAGCCGCCUAAGGUGGGAUAGAUGAUUGGGGUGAAGUCGUAACAAGGUAGCCGUAUCGGAAGGUGCGGCUGGAUCACCUCCUUU
rnacentral:rRNA from 3 species